rnacentral:rRNA from 1 species
AUUGAACGCUGGCGGCAGGCCUAACACAUGCAAGUCGAGCGGAUGAAGGGAGCUUGCUCCUGGAUUCAGCGGCGGACGGGUGAGUAAUGCCUAGGAAUCUGCCUGGUAGUGGGGGAUAACGCCCGGAAACGGGCGCUAAUACCGCAUACGUCCUGAGGGAGAAAGUGGGGGAUCUUCGGACCUCACGCUAUCAGAUGAGCCUAGGUCGGAUUAGCUAGUUGGUGGGGUAAAGGCCUACCAAGGCGACGAUCCGUAACUGGUCUGAGAGGAUGAUCAGUCACACUGGAACUGAGACACGGUCCAGACUCCUACGGGAGGCAGCAGUGGGGAAUAUUGGACAAUGGGCGAAAGCCUGAUCCAGCCAUGCCGCGUGUGUGAAGAAGGUCUUCGGAAUGUAAAGCACUUUAAGUUGGGAGGAAGGGCAGUAAGUUAAUACCUUGCUGUUUUGACGUUACCAACAGAAUAAGCACCGGCUAACUUCGUG